AGAUUCUUUGGGAUCACAAGGCCUGACUGUAAAGGGCCUCUCACCCUGGCUUUUGACUCCAAACCUGGAGUAAUUCUGGGGAAAUGUUUAUUUCAUUAAUGAGACAGAUAGUUCCUUUUCAGGACAUCCCACAACACAAACUCCAGGGGCAAGAUGCAGGUAUCAGGAGAGACUGCACAAUAAUGGCAGGAGGCACAAAUACCCCCAGGCCUGGCGGACCUGUGUGGAUAUAUAUGGAAACCCCAAGGUUCUCAGUUGGUGGAUGACACUUCGAAGGCAACUUGGUGAGACCGCUCAUGAAAUCUGGAGCUCUGGCCCAGCCAGGGAAUAGGGACCAGCAUUCAAUCCACUGCUCCAUGUUGGUGCCUCAGAAAGUCCUUCAUUUAAUAAGAGGAGGCAAAUGAGACUCUGGGAGAAGUAACUUCCCAAGUCCACACUUGAGCCCAAAUCCGGAACUCACAGACUUACAAGACAACUAACAAGAAGGAAAGCUCCCAGGAACUGGGCAUUUGCACUCAGGAAAGAAAAAAGCAGAAGAAAGGGGGUAGGAACCCAGACUUAGACCUGCCAAGGAGGUGAGCAGAGGCUGAUAAUUCCCACCAUGGGCAUCUCAAGGCAGCCGCCAUUGCCGGAGGGAAGGAUGAAAGGGAUCCAAAAGAGACAUGUCUCUGCCUAGUUGAACGAGAUGAGGUGAGAUCUUCCAAGACAGUUGUGAAAAUCGAAUAAGGCUUCAUCUACUUCAGAGUUUGCGGAGGCCUAAAGGACUUUGAGCAUUGAUCCAAGGGCACACCUAAGUCCCCUUCCUGCUAUUUUCCCAUGACAUCAUUUUCUCCCUAUUUCAGUCAAAUAUGGGCAACUAUGUACUU